CCCUUAGAUGUUCUGGGCCGCACGCGCGCUACACUGAUGCAUUCAACGAGUUUCUUCCUGGUCCGAGAGGAAUGGGUAACCUUUUGAAAGUGCAUCGUGAUAGGGAUAGACUAUUGCAAUUAUUGGUCUUCAACGAGGAAUUCCUAGUAGACGUAGUUCAUCAGACUGCAUCGAUUACGUCCCUGCCCUUUGUACACACCGCCCGUCGCUCCUACCGAUUGAAUGCUCAGGUGAGCCAUUCGGACUUUCAUCAUGCUGGUUUCCAGUUUUGAUGAAGGAAAGUCUUGCGAACCUUAUCAUUUAGAGGAUGGAGAAGUCGUAACA
rnacentral:rRNA from 1 species